UACGGGGGGAGCAAGCGUUGUUCGGAUUUACUGGGCGUAAAGGGCGCGUAGGCGGCCAGCACAAGUCAGUUGUGAAAUCUCCGAGCUUAACUCGGAACGGUCAACUGAUACUGUGCGGCUAGAGUGCGGAAGGGGGCAACUGGAAUUCUUGGUGUAGCGGUGAAAUGCGUAGAUAUCAAGAGGAACACCUGCGGCGAAGGCGGGUUGCUGGGCCGACACUGACGCUGAUGCGCGAAAGCCAGGGGAGCGAACGGGG
rnacentral:rRNA from 1 species